GUCGAACGGUAGAGGGGGCAACCCCUCGAGAGUGGCGAACGGGUGAGUAAUAUAUCGGAACGUGCCCAGUCGUGGGGGAUAACGUAGCGAAAGUUACGCUAAUACCGCAUACGAUCUACGGAUGAAAGCGGGGGAUCGCAAGACCUCGCGCGAUUGGAGCGGCCGAUAUCAGAUUAGGUAGUUGGUGAGGUAAAGGCUCACCAAGCCAACGAUCUGUAGCUGGUCUGAGAGGACGACCAGCCACACUGGAACUGAGACACGGUCCAGACUCCUACGGGAGGCAGCAGUGGGGAAUUUUGGACAAUGGACGCAAGUCUGAUCCAGCCAUUCCGCGUGCAGGAUGAAGGCCCUCGGGUUGUAAACUGCUUUUGUACGGAACGAAAAGGUCUCUAUUAAUACUAGGGGCUCAUGACGGUACCGUAAGAAUAAGCACCGGCUAACUACGUGCCAGCAGCCGCGGUAAUACGUAGGGUGCAAGCGUUAAUCGGAAUUACUGGGCGUAAAGCGUGCGCAGGCGGUUAUGUAAGACAGAGGUGAAAUCCCCGGGCUCAACCUGGGAACUGCCUUUGUGACUGCAUAGCUAGAGUACGGUAGAGGGGGAUGGAAUUCCGCGUGUAGCAGUGAAAUGCGUAGAUAUGCGGAGGAACACCGAUGGCGAAGGCAAUCCCCUGGACCUGUACUGACGCUCAUGCACGAAAGCGUGGGGAGCAAACAGGAUUAGAUACCCUGGUAGUCCACGCCCUAAACGAU
rnacentral:rRNA from 1 species